rnacentral:rRNA from 1 species
UACGUAGGGGGCAAGCGUUGUCCGGAAUUAUUGGGCGUAAAGAGCGUGUAGGUGGCCAGAUAAGUCCGCUGUGAAAUCUCGAGGCUCAACUUCGAGCUGUCGGUGGAAACUAUCUGGCUAGAGUCCGGAAGAGGAGAAUGGAAUUCCUGGUGUAGCGGUGAAAUGCGCAGAUAUCAGGAAGAACACCCGUGGCGAAGGCGGUUCUCUGGGACGGUACUGACGCUGAGACGCGAAAGCGUGGGGAGCGAACAGG